rnacentral:misc_RNA from 1 species
UCUCCGUUGGUGAACCAGCGGAGGGAUCAUUACCGAGUUUACAACUCCCAAACCCCUGUGAACAUACCUUACUGUUGCCUCGGCGGAUCAGCCCGCUCCCGGUAAAACGGGACGGCCCGCCAGAGGACCCCUAAACUCUGUUUUUGUACCAUCUGAGUCUUCCACAAAUAAACAAAACUUUCAACAACGGAUCUCUUGGUUCUG